rnacentral:rRNA from 1 species
UCCCCUAGUAACGGCGAGUGAAGCGGGAACAGCUCAAAUUUGAAAUCUGGCCUUCGGGUCCGAAUUGUAAUUUGCAGAGGAUGCUUUUGGUUAGGUACUUUCCGAGUUCCCUGGAACGGGACGCCUUAGAGGGUGAGAGCCCCGUACGGUUGGAUACCGAGCCUUUGUAAAGCUCCUUCGACGAGUCGAGUAGUUUGGGAAUGCUGCUCUAAAUGGGAGGUAAAUUUCUUCUAAAGCUAAAUACCGGCCAGAGACCGAUAGCGCACAAGUAGAGUGAUCGAAAGAUGAAAAGCACUUUGAAAAGAGGGUUAAAUAGCACGUGAAAUUGUUGAAAGGGAAGCGUUUAUGACCAGACUUUUUCCAGGCGGAUCAUCCGGUGUUCUCACCGGUGCACUUCGUCUGGUUGAGGCCAGCAUCGGUUUUCGUAGAGGGAUAAAAGCAGUAGGAAUGUGAUUCCCCCGGGAAUGUUAUAGCCUAUUGUAUAAUACCUUUAUGGGGACCGAGGUUCGCGCUCUGCAAGGAUGCUGGCGUAAUGGUCAUCAACGACCCGUCUUGAAACACGGACCAAGGAGUCGAACAUUUGUGCAAGUGUUUGGGUGUUAAACCCUCACGCGUAAUGAAAGUGAACGGAGGUGAGAGCCCUUACGGGUGCAUCAUCGACCGAUCCUGAUGUUUUCGGAUGGAUUUGAGUAAGAGCAUAACUGUUCGGACCCGAAAGAUGGUGAACUAUGCGUGGAUAGGGUGAAGCCAGAGGAAACUCUGGUGGAGGCUCGCAGCGGUUCUGACGUGCAAAUCGAUCGUCAAAUCUGCGCAUGGGGGCGAAAGACUAAUCGAACCAUCUAGUAGCUGGUUACCGCCGAAGUUUCCCUCAGGAUAGCAGUGUUGUCUUCAGUUUUAUGAGGUAAAGCGAAUGAUUAGGGACUCGGGGGCGCUUUUUAGCCUUCAUCCAUUCUCAAACUUUAAAUAUGUAAGAAGCCCUUGUUACUUAAUUGAACGUGGGCAUUCGAAUGUACCAACACUAGUGGGCCAUUUUUGGUAAGCAGAACUGGCGAUGCGGGAUGAACCGAACGCGGGGUUAAGGUGCCAGAGUAGACGCUCAUCAGACACCACAAAAGGUGUUAGUACAUCUUGACAGCAGGACGGUGGCCAUGGAAGUCGGAAUCCGCUAAGGACUGUGUAACAACUCACCUGCCGAAUGUACUAGCCCUGAAAAUGGAUGGCGCUCAAGCGUCUCACCCAUACCUCGCCCUUAGGGUAGAAACGAUGCCCUAAGGAGUAGGCGGCCGUGGAGGUCAGUGACGAAGCCUAGG